UUCUUCUGUGACUCAAUCAACUUCCAGAAUUUAAAUUAUUCUUUAAAUUGUUAGCGUAACUGUGGCAAUAAUAGCAGCAGAGAUGAUAAUGAGUAAUGUGAUAUAAAAGGAUUCUAAUGCAUUCAGCAAAGCCAAACUCAGCAAGACCUGAACAAACCCCAGAGGACACGGAGAGAACCAACCUAUAAUAUAGGUCAAUGUUUUCAUAUGUGGUAAAGCAUCAUGGCAUGAAUGAUCCCUGCCCUGCCUCUGGAAACACUUUACUGAAGGAAGAAGUGAAGAGUGACAAUUAUGGCUGCACACAGUGUGAACGUGUUCUGUGACUGAAGGCAGUGUCAGACCUGGAGCACAAAGAAGGCUUGAGCUCCUCUCCCUCCACCCACACCAUGAGCGAUGUUGGUUAACGUCUGACACAGCCUAAGUGGCUGGAGCUCUCCCAGGGGACCGUGCUGUUGUCCUCACCAGCUCCUUCUGUAAUCCUGCUUCAGAGUUCG
rnacentral:lncRNA from 1 species